rnacentral:misc_RNA from 1 species
CCUAAAACGUCAGGUCGAGGUGUAGCGUAUGGAAGGGGAAGAAAUGGGCUACAUUCGCUACUACAGCGAAUACGGAGGGUGUACUGAAACGUACACCUGAAGGAGGAUUUAGCAGUAAGCAGGAAAUAGAGCGUCCCGCUGAAAUCGGCCCUGAAGCGCGCACACACCGCCCGUCACUCUCCCCGAAAACACCCACUCAGUUAAUUAAAACCUAAUAAUCAUAGAGGGGAGGCAAGUCGUAACAUGGUAAGUGUACCGGAAGGUGCACUUGGAAAAAUCAGAGCGUGGCUAAGAUAGAAAAGCAUCUCCCUUACACUGAGAAGUCACCCGUGCAAGUCGGGUCGCCCUGAUGCCUAACAGCUAGCCCACCCAAACAAUUUCAACAAACCCCUGUUAAUAACCCCUAAGUACCCCAGUAUUUAUUUUAAACAAACCAUUUUUCCCCCCUAGUAUAGGCGAUAGAAAAGGGCCCACGGCGCAAUAGAGAAAGUACCGCAAGGGAACGCUGAAAGAGAAGUGAAACAACCCAGUAAAGCCUAAAAAAGCAGAGAUCUAAACUCGUACCUUUUGCAUCAUGAUUUAGCAAGUGUAACCCAAGCAAAGCGUACUUUAGUUUGACGUCCCGAAACUAGGUGAGCUACUCCAAGACAGCCUAUCAAUAGGGCGUACCCGUCUCUGUGGCAAAAGAGUGGGGAGAGCUUUGAGUAGAGGUGACAAACCUACCGAACCUAGUUAUAGCUGGUUGUCCAAGAAAUGAAUAGAAGUUCAGCCUUUCAGCUUCUCUUUUCACCUUAGUCUGACCCCUAUUGAUGCAUUAAAGAAACCGAAAGAGUUAGUCAAAGGGGGUACAGCCCCUUUGAAUCAAGACACAACUUUACCAGGAGGGUAAAGAUCAUAAUAAUUAAAGCUAAAUGUUUA